CGUACACUCCUGCGGGAGGCAGCAGUGGGGAAUAUUGGACAAUGGGCGCAAGCCUGAUCCAGCCAUGCCGCGUGAGUGAUGAAGGCCCUAGGGUUGUAAAGCUCUUUCACCGGUGAAGAUAAUGACGGUAACCGGAGAAGAAGCCCCGGCUAACUUCGUGCCAGCAGCCGCGGUAAUACGAAGGGGGCUAGCGUUGUUCGGAUUUACUGGGCGUAAAGCGCACGUAGGCGGACUAUUAAGUCAGGGGUGAAAUCCCGGGGCUCAACCCCGGAACUGCCUUUGAUACUGGUAGUCUUGAGUUCGAGAGAGGUGAGUGGAAUUCCGAGUGUAGAGGUGAAAUUCGUAGAUAUUCGUAGGAACACCAGUGGCGAAGGCGGCUCACUGGCUCGAUACUGACGCUGAGGUGCGAAAGCGUGGGGAGCAAACAGGAUUAGAAACCCUAGUAGUCCCAUG
rnacentral:rRNA from 1 species